rnacentral:rRNA from 1 species
UACGGAGGGGGCUAGCGUUGUUCGGAAUUACUGGGCGUAAAGCGCACGUAGGCGGCUUUGUAAGUUAGAGGUGAAAGCCCGGAGCUCAACUCCGGAACUGCCUUUAAGACUGCAUCGCUUGAAUGUCGGAGAGGUAAGUGGAAUUCCGAGUGUAGAGGUGAAAUUCGUAGAUAUUCGCAAGAACACCAGUGGCGAAGGCGGCUCACUGGCCCGGUACUGACGCUGAGGCACGAAAGCGUGGGGAGCAAACAGG